rnacentral:tRNA from 1 species
GCCCGGGUGGCGAAACUGGCAGACGCACGGGACUUAAAAUCCCGAGAGCCGAAAGGCUCGUGCCGGUUCAAUUCCGGCCCCGGGCACCA